rnacentral:rRNA from 1 species
UACGUAGGGGGCAAGCGUUGUCCGGAAUCAUUGGGCGUAAAGCGCGUGUAGGCGGCCAGGUAAGUCCGUUCUGAAAGCCCGGGGCUCAACCCCGGGAGGCGGGUGGAUACUGCUGAGCUUGAGUCCGGAAGAGGCGAGUGGAAUUCCCGGUGUAGCGGUGAAAUGCGCAGAUAUCGGGAGGAACACCAAUGGCGAAGGCAGCUCGCUGGGACGUGACUGACGCUGAGACGCGAAAGCGUGGGGAGCGAACAGG